GACGUAGGGCGCGAGCGUUGUCCGGAUUUAUUGGGCGUAAAGAGCUCGUAGGCGGCUUGUCGCGUCGACUGUGAAAUCCCGCGGCUCAACUGCGGGUCUGCAGUCGAUACGGGUAGGCUAGAGUUCGGUAGGGGAGACUGGAAUUCCUGGUGUAGCGGUGAAAUGCGCAGAUAUCAGGAGGAACACCGAUGGCGAAGGCAGGUCUCUGGGCCGAUACUGACGCUGAGGAGCGAAAGCGUGGGGAGCGAACAGG
rnacentral:rRNA from 1 species